rnacentral:rRNA from 1 species
AUUGAACGCUGGCGGCAGGCCUAACACAUGCAAGUCGAGCGGAUGAAGGGAGCUUGCUCCUGGAUUCAGCGGCGGACGGGUGAGUAAUGCCUAGGAAUCUGCCUGGUAGUGGGGGAUAACGUCCGGAAACGGGCGCUAAUACCGCAUACGUCCUGAGGGAGAAAGUGGGGGAUCUUCGGACCUCACGCUAUCAGAUGAGCCUAGGUCGGAUUAGCUAGUUGGUGGGGUAAAGGCCUACCAAGGCGACGAUCCGUAACUGGUCUGAGAGGAUGAUCAGUCAACAUGGAAAGUGAGCAGGGCCCAGGCCCCCACGGGGAGCCGCCAGGGGGAAUUUUGGAAAAAGGGGGAAAGCCUGUAUCCAACCUGGCGGGGGGGUGAAAGAAGUUUUUGGAUUUGAAAGCAAUUUAAUGUUGGGAGAAAGGGGAUAAAUUUAAUACCUUGUUUUUUGUAGUUACCAAAAAAAAUAAACACGGACAACCUUGGUG